GCGGUUAAUAACAACCUCCUCUCAGUCUGCUCCAGCUCCAGCUCCAGCUCCAGCAUCCAGGACAGACAGCGGCGGGCAGUGUGUGCCUGAGCCCGGAUCCACGCGCUCUCCUCUGGAUGAAAUAUGAAGAGCUCUGGAGCACAGCGAUGGGCAUUUGAGUCAUCUCCUGCAGAGGGCAAACAAAGACAUACUGUGA